AUGAAGUUUGAAUGGGAAAAAAUAUUAUUCUUCUCUGUCUGUUCCUACUGUAUCUGUGAUUACCAGCUUGCUUUAUACUGCAGUUGUAAGCAGAAAUUAGAACUUGAAAAAGAGAAAACCAGACAGUCUGUGUAUGAUGACCGUGACCCCGGCUUUCAAAUUGAUUUGAACCCGCAGCGGAGAGUUCCGCAGAUUCAUCACCAAAAGGAACGGAGCGGGACCGCAGCAGACUAUUAUUAAAAGAUCUUUUUUUCUUCACUUUCCCCUUCCCUGAACUAUGUAACAAAUCCCCCCAAUAAAAGUAGCAUUCAUUUUUAACAGUAACACUCUCUAUCUGGUUAUUUUGUGUCUCUCUCUGACUCCUUCUUUUGCACGCAAACCCCCCCCCCUUCUCUCUCUCUAACCCGUCCGAUCUUUAAACCCUGGCGGAGGCUUCGCCCGCCAUAGGUUAAUACGGCGGGCGAUACAAAUUGGCUCAUAUCUUUAUCAAAAUUACCCCUAGCACACUCCUCUUUUAGUCCUAACCCUUUCUAAGGCUCCUGACUCGAGGACCACCAACGGAACCAAAAUAGGUCCAGUUCUCGGCACCUCAUCAGCUGACUGUCAAACGGAACCGACUGCUCCUUUCAAGCCAGACUGCUCUCUUCCAGUCUUAUCCCGGACUUUCCUCUCCCCGCGACCCGCGGGAUGGUUUUAGGAGAUCCCUGGUCCCUUUCUGCGAACUGGGGAUGGGGGAUCGCUCUCCCGCUGGGGAGACAUAGUUCUCCAAGGACCUUCACCCUCUCUACAGCUGCCAGGAGGGUGCCUGGUCGGGCGCCCUCCACGUUUCAUUUACACCUUCAUAAUUUUAUGAAUGAGAAGAACACCCUUCCCCGGACCUACUCCUGAACUUAUGAAAUCUUAUACUUCCAAAGACUGCAACCCACAUGUGCCUCUUCCCCAUGCCAUCUCUAUGAAUUCCUUCCACCACAGAUGAACUCUUUUUCCUCAUGUAUCCGUGAAUUUUCAUAUUCUAUGUACCUGGACACCCUCAUGAAUCACUGUUGUAUGAAUUUCUAAUCGUUGGGCUAACUUCAUGAAUUGUGAGAUCAU
rnacentral:lncRNA from 1 species